rnacentral:rRNA from 1 species
UACAGAGGUCCCAAGCGUUGUUCGGAUUCACUGGGCGUAAAGGGUGCGUAGGCGGUCGGGUAAGUCUGACGUGAAAUCCCCGGGCUCAACCUGGGAAUUGCGUUGGAGACUGCAAGGCUGGAGUCUGGCAGAGGGGGGUAGAAUUCCACGUGUAGCAGUGAAAUGCGUAGAGAUGUGGAGGAACACCGAUUGCGAAGGCAGCUCGCUGGGACGUCACUGACGCUGAGACGCGAAAGCGUGGGGAGCAAACAGG